rnacentral:rRNA from 1 species
AAAUUGAAGAGUUUGAUCAUGGCUCAGAUUGAACGCUGGCGGCAGGCCUAACACAUGCAAGUCGAGCGGAAACGAGUUAUCUGAACCUUCGGGGGACGAUAACGGCGUCGAGCGGCGGACGGGUGAGUAAUGCCUAGGAAAUUGCCCUGAUGUGGGGGAUAACCAUUGGAAACGAUGGCUAAUACCGCAUGAUGCCUACGGGCCAAAGAGGGGGACCUUCGGGCCUCUCGCGUCAGGAUAUGCCUAGGUGGGAUUAGCUAGUUGGUGAGGUAAGGGCUCACCAAGGCGACGAUCCCUAGCUGGUCUGAGAGGAUGAUCAGCCACACUGGAACUGAGACACGGUCCAGACUCCUACGGGAGGCAGCAGUGGGGAAUAUUGCACAAUGGGCGCAAGCCUGAUGCAGC